GAUGAACGCUAGUUACAGGCUUAACACAUGCAAGUCGAGGGGAAACGACAUCGAAAGCUUGCUUACGAUGGGCGUCGACCGGCGCACGGGUGAGUAAGGGGUAUCCAACCUGCCCAUCAAUUGGGAAUAACCUUGUGAAAGUAAGAAUAAUGCCCAACGAUAUCCCACGAAGGCAUCCGAAUGGGAUUAAAGAUUUAUCGGUGAUGGAUGGGGAUGCUUCUCAUUAGUUUGUUGGCGGGGUAACGGCCCACCAAGGCAACGAUCAGUUGGGGUUCUGAGAGGAAGGUCCCCCACAUUGGAACUGAGACACGGUCCAAAAUCCAACGGGAGGCAGCAGCGAGGCAUAUUGGUCAAUGGGCGAGAGCCUGAACCAGCCAAGUAGCGUGCAGGACGACGGCCCUAUGGGUUGUAAACUGCUUUUAUAAGGGAAUAAAGUGGGUCAUGUGUGACUUCUUGCAUGUACCUUAUGAAUAAGGACCGGCUAA
rnacentral:rRNA from 1 species